rnacentral:lncRNA from 1 species
CCAUAUACUACUUUCGAGAAAUAACUCAAUUAACCAUGAAAACUACUCACCAAUUAAAUUAUUAUGAUGUCAGAAAACUAUAUUCAGGCUAGGGUUGUGUAUAAGUGUGGAGGUAAUAAAGAUGCUACUUUCUGUCCAUACAUAUCGAUGUCUUUUUUUUUUUUAAAUACAAUACAACGCAGAUGCUCACAAUACACACACUCUCCCAUAAGAACGCACGCACGCAAACCCUACCCCCAUGAGCACCUUCGAAGCCUGUCGGCAUAUCCUAGACCUGACGAAGUCACCACAGGCGCCUCACUAUCGACGGGUACGUCGCCUAUCACUGAAAGCACAAAGCCGUUAGAAUCCUGAAAAAUUCGCUCCAACAAGAAGUCAAACCAAGGACCUCAAGUGCUACUAAAGCCUUUGUAACCACUAGGCUACAU